rnacentral:rRNA from 1 species
AUUGAACGCUGGCGGCAGGCCUAACACAUGCAAGUCGAGCGGAGCGGCGGACGGGGGAGGAAUGCCUAGGAAUCUGCCUGUUCGUGGGGGACAACGUCAGGGACCGGACGCUAAUGCCACAUAAUAUCAAAUGAGCAUAGGGCGGAUUAGCUAGUUGGUGGGGUAAGGGCCUACCAAGGCGACGAUCCGUAACUGGUCUGAGAGGAGGAUCAGUCACACGGGAACUGAGACACGGUCCAGACUCCUACGGGAGGGAGCAGUGGGGAAGAUUGGACAAUGGGCGAAAGCCGGAUCCAGCCAUGCCGCGUGUGUGAAGAAGGUUUUCGGAUUGUAAGGCACUUUAAGUUGGGAGGCGUUACCUACAGAAGAAGCACCGGCUAACUUCGUGCCAGCAGCCGCGGUAAUAC